GGGAGUAGCUCAGUGGUAUAGUGCAUGCUUAGCAUGCAUGAGGUCCUGGGUUCAAUCCCUAGUACCACCA
rnacentral:tRNA from 1 species